GAGGGGACAGGAUCCUUCUGGGGCAGGAGCUGAGAUGCCAGGGUCCCCUGAGACAUGGCUGGAUUUCAUGGUGUGAUUCAUGGGGAUGUUCUGUGCAGGGCCAGGAGCUUGUGGGCCCCUUCCACUGCGGGACAUUCCAUAAUUCCAUGGUUCUGUGACUUGUUUUAAGGCAGCUGGGUUGAGUCCUGUGUGUUUGCACCAAAAUCCCCCCGCCCCCACGGCCUCAGCUACAGGAGACAGGCCCCACCUUGCUGCGGGUUUGCAGCACUCAAGCCAUUUCAGCAGCAGGCACAGAAAUCUCUGAGGAAGGCAGGGAAUACCGAGAUUGUUUAUUCGUGGAUCCUAGGAAAUUUUUCACCAGGGCUCUCUCCUGUGGUGGACUCCUUGGGGACGAGUGAGAAUCUCAGCAAUUUCAUGAAACUUACUUAACACUCCAGCGAUGUGCAGAUGAGGAGAACAGAAGGCAGGAGGACAGGUGGCAUCAUCCUGGAGAAAGUCAAAGGCAAAGCUGUCACAAAUGCGGGGAAAGCUCACAAAUGUGGUCAGGCUCAGACUGGGAACUCAUGCUGGUUGUGGUUAUGUGCCAGGCCCAUGAUCUGGACACACCUCUCCAGUCAAAGUUUACUUCUGUUUCCCUGUUGGAAUCAGGGGAUUUUUUACAUCAGAACACAGAUCAGCUGCAGUUGGCCUGUCUGCCUGCCUUCCCUGAGUGAUUUCAUCCAUGCCUCUGAUCUGUUGGAUAUCUGCUCCAGUUUCCACAAAGAGUGACACAGGGCUUGAGGAAACCCGACAAAAAAUAAACAGGCACAGCACUGCAGAAACUGCUGCACUGUAUUAAAACAAAUGGUUUUAAUUAUUUAAAAUUAGAUGCCUUGGCAGAAGCCAUGCAGAAACUAAAAACAGAGGAAGCAAAAAUAUUCUUGUUUAAGACUACAGAAAUGGAAUUGAUCCUAAUAAGUCAAGUUUAUUUUUGUGAAAUAAUUAAAGAAAACCUCUUGCAUUUC